rnacentral:rRNA from 6 species
UUGGAUAACCGUGGUAAUUCUAGAGCUAAUACAUGCUAAAAACCCCAACUUCGGGAGGGGUGUAUUUAUUAGAUAAAAAACCAACGCCCUUCGGGGCUUCUUGGUGAUUCAUGAUAACUUCACGGAUCGCAUGGCCUUGCGCCGGCGACGGUUCAUUCAAAUUUCUGCCCUAUCAACUUUCGAUGGUAAGGUAUUGGCUUACCAUGGUUUCAACGGGUAACGGGGAAUUAGGGUUCGAUUCCGGAGAGGGAGCCUGAGAAACGGCUACCACAUCCAAGGAAGGCAGCAGGCGCGCAAAUUACCCAAUCCCGACACGGGGAGGUAGUGACAAUAAAUACUGAUACAGGGCUCUUUUGGGUCUUGUAAUUGGAAUGAGUACAAUUUAAACCUCUUAACGAGGAACAAUUGGAGGGCAAGUCUGGUGCCAGCAGCCGCGGUAAUUCCAGCUCCAAUAGCGUAUAUUAAAGUUGUUGCAGUUAAAAAGCUCGUAGUUGAAACUUGGGUCUGGCUGGCAGGUCCGCCUCACCGCGUGUACUUGUCCGGCCGGGCCUUUCCUUCUGGAGAACCUCAUGCCCUUCACUGGGCGUGUUGGGGAACCAGGACUUUUACUUUGAAAAAAUUAGAGUGUUCAAAGCAGGCCUUUGCUCGAAUACGUUAGCAUGGAAUAAUAGAAUAGGACGUGCGGUCCUAUUUUGUUGGUUUCUAGGACCGCCGUAAUGAUUAAUAGGGACAGUCGGGGGCAUCAGUAUUCAAUUGUCAGAGGUGAAAUUCUUGGAUUUAUUGAAGACUAACUACUGCGAAAGCAUUUGCCAAGGAUGUUUUCAUUAAUCAGUGAACGAAAGUUAGGGGAUCGAAGACGAUCAGAUACCGUCGUAGUCUUAACCGUAAACUAUGCCGACUAGGGAUCGGGCGAUGUUCUUUUU